CCUGUCCUUAACCCUCUCUUCACAAACGGAAGGCCUGUCUUCCUCACUGCUCUAAAUAUGAAGCAGUGAAUGGAGAGGAACGUGCAGGCUGCCAUAUCAUAUCAGUAAGUCUCAAGCAAAGAGGCAGAAAAAAGCCCAUCUCCUCAGACUCCAUCAGGGAGAGAAGGGGCUUUCUGAGACACAGGAUACCCAUUCCUCCACAAGAGCUCCAGGGAAUUGGUCACCUUUUAGAAGUCAAAGGAAGCAGUCAGUAAGAGCUGAACUAACUCCUACCUUUCACUAAACACAAGCUUGGGUUACUCAAAAUCUAUACCCCACAACACAGUACAUGGAAAAGACAUAAUUCUUAUUAGAACAUUUACUGGGGAGAACCAAUAUUUGACUAGAGUCAAAUGAAAAGAUGGUGUUCAGAGACAAACUGGCCUCAGGAUCGAGAUUGGGCUUUGCUCUCUGAAUGUGAUGUGGUGGGAGAAGGUAAAAGGGAAGCUGUUGGGGUGGGGAAUGGUCUAUAGGGAACUUGGAAUGCAGGGGAGGAACAGGCUUUGGUGGCAGAGAAUCCCUCAGCAGUGAGAGUGAAAAUAAGUCAGCUAAAGGGGUGAUCAGGUCAGGUGAGAGAAUUAAGGGGGGUGGUGGAGAACGGUCAGGACAAGGGGACACUAUUAGUCUUCUGGAGGGGUGGCUGAAUCUUUCUGGGACUCCCAACACAGCACUCACUGGAUCUCAGCAGCUGUUCUGUUACACACCUCACAGAGGGGAUCUGGGCAUAACAGUUGACGAAAGCAGGCAGUAUCACGGGGACUGCAGAAAGCAGGAGGCCCGAUGCUGCAGCCAGGACUAGAACAAGGAAAGGAGGGUCUGUUAGCCUGGCAGGGGUGGGAACCCUGGUGCCUGCUACCUGCUUCACAUUGCCCCCCACCUAUGACCUCAUCAUGCACUCUAGGGCCUCUCAACACAUUCAUUCACAUACACGUUCCUAUGGCUACCCACUCCCACAACUACAGGAGGCUACAAGAAAUCGCUGAGAACCUGAAGACUGGAUCCUCUGAGAACAUCAGAUAAAGACUGUCCUUGCCAUCCACACUACAGCAAAACUGGAGCCUUGACCCUGAGCUUAUAAUCUUACAACUGAGAUGGGUCCCUUCACACUCCUGGAACUGUAC
rnacentral:lncRNA from 13 species